GCAUCUCUAACAGCCGGUAUUGCCCGGCUUCGACAGAAUAAUGGUCCUUCAUAGUCUUCAGAAUGAUCCCCCAGCUCUGCAGAACUCUGAAUUACUACAGGAGCACAAAUUAUGUUCCGUCGGCCUUUAGAGCUGCCUGUUGCAUGGUGACCCACAUAUCCUGGGAGGGACUUUAAUGCCCCACUGGAAAUAGUAGACCAAAGACUGAGUGACAAUCAGAGAGAGGUAGAAGGGACUCCUUCAACUGCAAGGGAAGGGGAGGGGCAGACUAGAUGGUGGUGUGAUAAUAUAAUAUUCCGUGGUCAUGAUUCAUAAUUUUUAAAAAUUGGCAAUAGACUACAGCAAGUUUUAUACCAAUAGGAAACCGGUUAAAUAUAUUCUUUUCUACUCACUGGAGCGCCUCACAAGAAAGGAGGAGAGCUCGCUGUGUCUGGAGCGGGAACAGGAGCCCUCUCAGAGCCAGAGACCACGUCCUUUCCCACCUCUGCCCCAACCAGCUGCAUCCCCUCAGCCAAGUGCACCUUGUGGAACUCUAGCAAGAGGACGGAAGCAAAUUUCCUCUAAACUUCUUCCUAAACUCAAAAUUCCUAAAGAAGAAAUAAACUUUAUGGAGGAGAACUGGGAGCGGGAGUCAAGGGCCGGAGCCUGGAGGAGAGAGGCUGAGGCAGCACAGAGACAGCCGCUCUCUGCAAGGAAGGGAACUGAGCCCCUGGAACGGAACACCUCCCACAUGGCAGUUCAACAAUGGGCUUCUGGAGAUAAUGGUUGGACACCGCAACAGUGUGGCUUGACAAGCAGUGCUAGGACUGCAACCGGGAUCCGAACCUGCAAACUCCAGGCUGCUGAAGGGAAUGCACAAACUUAACCCCUACACCAUGGGGCCAGCCCCCAGCUUAAUGGCUUUUGAUAAAAAAAAUUCCUUUAAGAAACUUCCAGAAAGAAACAGCCUGUGCCUUUAGCUCCUUCUGUGAGGAGCCACUCUUCCCAGUGCCUCAGGGGCCAGGAAGCUCACGCUCUGGAACCCCAGAGCCAAAGCCAAGCCUUGUGGCUGACAUUCCGUUUCAAUCUGACUGUUUUUAUAUAAUGUACAGCCCAAGACUGACAACAUGAUACACUUUUGUUUUUCUCCAGAA
rnacentral:lncRNA from 1 species